AACGCUAGCUACAGGCUUAACACAUGCAAGUCGAGGGGCAGCAUGAACUUAGCUUGCUAAGUUUGAUGGCGACCGGCGCACGGGUGAGUAACACGUAUCCAACCUGCCGAUGACUCGGGGAUAGCCUUUCGAAAGAAAGAUUAAUACCCGAUGGCAUAGUUCUUCCGCAUGGUGGAACUAUUAAAGAAUUUCGGUCAUCGAUGGGGAUGCGUUCCAUUAGGUUGUUGGCGGGGUAACGGCCCACCAAGCCUUCGAUGGAUAGGGGUUCUGAGAGGAAGGUCCCCCACAUUGGAACUGAGACACGGUCCAAACUCCUACGGGAGGCAGCAGUGAGGAAUAUUGGUCAAUGGACGAGAGUCUGAACCAGCCAAGUAGCGUGAAGGAUGACUGCCCUAUGGGUUGUAAACUUCUUUUAUACGGGAAUAAAGUGAGGCACGUGUGCCUUUUUGUAUGUACCGUAUGAAUAAGGAUCGGCUAACUCCGUGCCAGCAGCCGCGGUAAUACGGAGGAUCCGAGCGUUAUCCGGAUUUAUUGGGUUUAAAGGGAGCGUAGGCGGACGCUUAAGUCAGUUGUGAAAGUUUGCGGCUCAACCGUAAAAUUGCAGUUGAUACUGGGUGUCUUGAGUACGCACAAAGUGGGCGGAAUUCGUGGUGUAGCGGUGAAAUGCUUAGAUAUCACGAAGAACUCCGAUUG
rnacentral:rRNA from 1 species